GUAGGGGUAUGUGGUAGGGGUAUGUGGUAGGGGUAUGUGGUAAGGGUAUGUGGUAGGGGUAAGAGGUAGGGUUAAGUGGUGAAAUGGGAUUGGUCCUUAUAAAUAAAGACCCAGAACUACAGUCUGUAAUUAUUCUAGAACUACAGAUUUUUGAGUAUUUUGCUGGUUUUAACCUGAAUAUUUAAUACAGUGCAGUUUGGGAGUUUGGAAACUCGCUGUUACGUAACGAUGGGAUUUUUUCCCGAUGUUCUGCUUAUCCACCCUAGCAACAGUUGCUAUGGAUGAAUGCGCUUAUGGGCGGAGCUUGCGUAGGUCAGUUCCAGCCAGUUCAGAGCAUUCCUGAGCCGCUGCAUCAUCAGCGCUGAAUGGAGGACUCGGGUUCGGAGAUAGCUCCGCCCCCUGCAGCCCGUCUGCUCUAACACUCACUCUAACAUCACUACAAUAGCAGGAAACUACACACACACACACACACACACACACACACUCAUGCACGCCUGUGGACGGAGGGGUAUGGGGUGUGUGUGUGGAGAUGAGUCAUGCUGAGGGAGAAGAGCGGCAGUAGAGCAAGAGGGAGUGGAGGAGUAAAAAGAGGGGAAAAGAGAGAGAGAGAAAAAUAAGAAAGUACAAGAGAAUGAGUGAGCAAGAAAAACAGAUGAGAGAUUGAGAGAGAAAAGAAGGAGAGAGGGGAGAGAGAUGAAGAGAAAUAAGGAGAGUGAGGGGACAGAAAGAAAGUAUAGGGGUGAAAAGAGAGAGAGAGUAAAGAGUGGAAGAAAGGGAGAGAAAAGGAAAUGGGGAGAGGAAAGAAAGAGGGGAAGAAAAGGAGAGAAAAGAAAUGGGGAGAGGAAAAAAGUAAAGACAGAGCGGGAGAAAGAGAGAAAAGGAAUGAGGGUGCUGAAAAAGGGGGGUUAAAAAGAGAAAGAAAAAAGAGAAAAGGUGAAAAGGAAAACGAGGAAAGAAAUGAGUGGAAGAACAUUAGAAAAAAGGAAUGUGGGAGUAAAAAGGAAAGAAAAAAGAGUGAAGAAACAAUAAAAUAAGAGGGAAAAGAAA